rnacentral:tRNA from 1 species
GGGUGUAGCUCAGUGGUGGAGUGUUUGCCUAGUAUACACAAAGUCCUGGGUUCAAUCCCCAGUAGUUCCA